ensembl:lncRNA
AAGACCCAGAGUUACCUCUGCUGCAGAGGAUAAGAUCAUUAGAGUUAACUGUCUCUCGUGAGGACCGCCACAAGAAAGGAAGACCCAGAGUUACCUCUGCUGCAGAGGAUACGUUCAUUAGAGUUAACUGUCUCUCGUGAGGACCGCCACAAGAAAGGAAGACCCAGAGUUACCUCUGCUCCAGAGGAUAAGAUCAUUAGAGUUAACUGUCUCUCGUGAGGACCGCCACAGGAAAGGAAGACCCAGAGUUACCUCUGCUGCAGAGGAUACGUUCAUUAGAGUUAACUGCACCUCAGAUUGCAGCCCAAAUAAAUUCUUCACAGAGUUCAAGUAACAGACACAUCUCAACAUCAACUGUUCAGAGGAGACUGUGUGAAUCAGGCCUUCAUGGUCAAAUUGCUACAAAGAAACCACUACUAAAGGACACCAAUAAUAAGAAGAGACUUGCUUGGGCCAAGAAACAUGAGAAAUGGACAUUAGACCGGUGUAAAUCUGUCCUUUGGUCUGAUGAGUCCGAAUAUGAGAUUUUUGGUUUCAACCACUGUGUAUUUGUGAGACGCAGAGUAAGUGAAUGGAUGAUCUCCGCAUGUGUGGUUCCCACCGUGAAGCAUGGAGGAGGAGGUGUGAUGGUGCUUUGCUGGUGACACUGUCUGUGAUUUUUUAAUUUUUAAUUUAUUGCACACUUAACCAGCAUGGCUACCAAAGCAUUCUGCAGUGAUACGCCAUCCCAUCUGGUUUGGGCUUAGUGGGACUGUCAUUUGUUUUUCAACAGGACAAUGAACCAACACACCUCCAUGCUGUGUAAAGGCUAUUUGACCAAGAAGAGUGAAGGUGCUGCAUCAGAUAACCUGGCCUCCACAAUCACCCGACCUCAACCCAAUUGAGAUGGAUUGGGAUGAGUUGAACCGCAGAGUGAAGGAAAAGCAGCCAACAAGUGCUCAGCAUAUGUGGGAACUCCUUCAAGACAGCUGGAAACGCAUUCCAGGUGAAGCUGGUUGAGAGAAUGCCAAGAGUGUGCAAAGCUGUAAUCAAGGCAAAGGGUGUAAAUAAGAAUUUGACUUGCCUAGUUAAAUUUAAAAAACAAUUAUAAUUUAAUAAAAGCCAUGAAUUGUUCUGUGUAUCUAGGAAUAUGCUAUUUGUAUUAACAAACAAGUGCCUUAUAUAUUAUUAUAUAUAUUAUAUAUUAUUAUCUGUGAAAAGGUGCUUAUUGUGUAGGGUAUGUACGCUACCAUUCCAAAGAUGUUUCUGUUGUGUAUAACCAUGUGUAUGUGACAAAUAAAAUUUGAUUUGUUAAAGAUAUUGAAGCACUAAUGCUAUCACGAAUGAAAAUUGGCAUUAUAUAGAGUAGAAAUGAUACCAGAACUAGAUAGUAAUUCACCACUGUGCUAUAUGAAAUAAAUACAAAAAAAUGUAAUGCUGCAAUUGUUGACAAAAUAAUUGACUUGUUUUUAACUUUUUGUAUGAAAUAAAAAAUGUUGCCUCCUUCCUAGUAAAAAGGGAUGUACCUACAGUUAUAGGACAGGUUACAUGUGUAUGCAUUACUUCCUGAAUGUUUGGAUUGGGAGGAAGUUUAUCUGUUUGUGCCAGUCUGUGCUAUCAUGCCAAAUCCUUGGCUUGACAGGUGACCACAAACAGAUCUGUGACCAGGCUAUAGAAGGAGACCACAGUUCUGGGACCAGGCUAUAGAAGGAGACCACAGUUCUGGGACCAGGCUAUAGAAGGAGACCACAGUUCUGGGACCAGGCUAUAGAAGGAGACCACAGUUCUGGGACCAGGCUAAAUCAUAUGGGUUCAAAUGUAGAAGUACUGUAAAAUGGUAAAGAUCCGAUGGAACGUGUGAAGGGUGUUCUGAUGGAACUGUGUGAAGGGUGUUCUGAUGGAACUGUGUUCUGAUGGAACGUGUGAAGGGUGUUCUGAUGGAACUGUGUUCUGAUGGAACGUGUGAAGGGUGUUCUGAUGGAACUGUGUUCUGAUGGAACUGUGUGAAGGGUGUUCUGAUGGAACUGUGUUCUGAUGGAACUGUGUUCUGAUGGAACUGUGUGAAGGGUGUUCUGAUGGAACUGUGUUCUGAUGGAACUGUGUGAAGGGUGUUCUGAUGGAACUGUGUUCUGAUGGAACUGUGUGAAGGGUGUUCUGAUGGAACUGUGUGAAGGGUGUUCUGAUGGAACUGUGUGAAGGGUGUUCUGGUGGAACUGUGUGAAGGGUGUUCUGGUGGAACUGUGUGAAGGGUGUUCUGGUGGAACUGUGUGAAGGGUGUUCUGGUGGAACUGUGUGAAGGGUGUUCUGAUGGAACUGUGUGAAGGGUGUUCUGAUGGAACUGUGUGAAGGGUGUUCUGGUGGAACUGUGUGAAGGGUGUUCUGGUGGAACUGUGUGAAGGGUGUUCUGGUGGAACUGUG